ACAAUCAAAUAUGUACAUCGAGAUCUGACGAACAAGAUGUGGUCUCUGAAACAAAAUCAAAUACAUUGUGUAUUACUAACAAUAAUGUUGACACAAACAUAACAAAGAGAAAACUAACAGAACAAGAAUUAUUUAAUUAUGAAGAAGAGAAUGGUGUAUUCGAAAAGCAUUCAAAAAGAACACAACAAAUGAAAAGAACAAAAAAGUUAACCACUAACAAAGAAAACUCUUACAAUGAAAAUGGAAAUAAAACUUACGGAAACAUGUAUGAGCGAAAUCCUGGAGUAAUAAAGUUACCAAAAUUGGUUUUACAUAGAAUUGAUCAACAGCUAAAAACAAAAGAACAGAAAGCAUUACAACAGUUACAGAAUUUAAAGUCUCAAAUUUAAUACCAAAAAUUAUAAUAUUUCUAUUCAGUUCAAAGACUAAACACAGUAAUACGCGAGAUGUAAUAUCUCUAAAGAACAUUUAUUCCACACUAUAAAUUGGGAUCUUCAAAACUGCUGAAUGUGUCAAGAGAGAAGUCUUCCGAAGAUAUUUGCACGCUGUGUUUUACCAAUGAGCGAACACA